rnacentral:rRNA from 1 species
GGGUCGGGCCGAGCGGUCUGCCGAUGGGUAUGCACUGUUCGGCGCGGCCUUCUUUCCGGAGACCGCGGCUACUCUUAACUGAGCGGGCGUGGGAGACGGAUCGUUUACUUUGAAAAAAUCAGAGUGUUUCAAGCAGGCAGCUCGCUCUUGCAUGGAUUAGCAUGGGAUAAUGAAAUAGGACUCUGGUGCUAUUUUGUUGGUUUCGAACACCGGAGUAAUGAUUAACAGGGACAGUCAGGGGCACUCGCAUUCCGUCGAGAGAGGUGAAAUUCUCAUACCAAUGGAAGACGAACCACUGCGAAAGCAUUUGCCAGGGAUGUUUUCACUG